AGAGCGAACGCUGGCGGCAGGCCUAAUACAUGCAAGUCGAGCGGUCCCUUCGGGGGCAGCGGCGGACGGGUGAGUAACGCGUGGGAACGUGCCCUUUGGUACGGAACAACUGAGGGAAACUUCAGCUAAUACCGUAUGUGCCCUUCGGGGGAAAGAUUUAUCGCCAUUGGAGCGGCCCGCGUUGGAUUAGGUAGUUGGUGAGGUAAAGGCUCACCAAGCCUACGAUCCAUAGCUGGUCUGAGAGGAUGAUCAGCCACACUGGGACUGAGACACGGCCCAGACUCCUACGGAGGCAGCAGUAGGGAAUCUUGCGCAAUGGGCGAAAGCCUGACGCAGCCAUGCGCGUGAAUGAUGAAGGUCUUAGGAUUGUAAAAUUCUUUCACCGGGGAACGAUAAAGUGAACGGUACCCGGAAGAAGAAGCCCCGGACUAAACUUCCGUGCCCAGCAGCCCGC
rnacentral:rRNA from 1 species